rnacentral:lncRNA from 1 species
AUGGGGUGGCUCUGCCUGGUGUGGGAUACAGCUACCACCAGUGCUAGAAGAAAACACCACCCCCAGGAUUUGAGCACGAUGAAUUGCCCUGGAGGCUUAAGUCUUGAGCUGGAUGGGCUCAUACGACCCGACCCUGGGAUGAUUUCGGGACUAGGCAAGAACUUCAGAGUUCUGACUGAACAGCAGGGACAAGGGGAAGGAGCUCCACCUGGACUGGGGCAUGAAAGGAACACAACUCACUCCUGGGAUCAGGCCCAACUUCCCCAUGGCAGGAUCUCAGCACAGUGGCACUCAUCCCUCACCCAAGCAUUUUGCCAGCAGCCUAAAGAUCAUUUCAUCCCACCUAUCACGACAUUACACCACUGUGGGGGCCUGAGUGCAAGCUUUCCCAGUCCAACUCUACCAGGCUUUGACGUGGCCCCCGAGAAACAGUGCCAGAUCCAGGUUACCAGGGAAUUCCACAACCAAACCCACUACCUGAAACACUCCGAAACACCAGGGUACUUCUCCCAGGGGACAGAGGUCAGGAAUAACACCCUACCAGUACAGCCUCAGCUGCCUCAUACCUGCAAGUACCACCUUACUGGCCUGGAUCCCACUGCAACCACUGCUAACACAAACAUAAAGUGCUCGGGACCCAGAAGAGUAUCUCAACAAAACUACUACCACCAUAAACUAUGCCACGCCAGUUGCCCAGGAGCUAGAGAGCCAGCUCAUCCACCUGGUACACUAUUACAACAGCCAUCUGAGAAAGUCACUCAGAAGCCCAAGAAUCAGCCUAUCCGGAACUGCCAAGACAGUUACCAGCACAUGCUGCCCCAAGGCACAUGGAUAGACAUGCUUAGCCCACCAUCACUACCAUUGAAACCUAAAGACAGGCCUAUUAGGCAUUCCAAUCACCAGCACAACUUCAGCCUCCACCAAAAAACCGAAGCUAAGACAUCAAGGAAACCACAGAUACCAUUAGUGCUAUUUACAGCCAAAGAAAUCAUACAGAGACUUCACUACUGCGCGCACCCAGAAGCAAGACCAAAGGGCCCUGCCCAACCAACAUUAUAG